UGCUGGGUGAAGAACAGAGGCUUUGGUCCUUCCCCCUCCGGGCCAGCAGGGGGCGGCAGCACCUGUAAAGUCCUGAAAGCCGCAGCUGGCUGCUUGUUGUUGUUGUUGGAGGAAGCAGCGGUCCGUUAUCAGCAGGGUGUGUUUCUGACAGAGUCGGAGGAGCCUGGUCGUGUUUCUACAGACUGCUGAGAGAUGUACUACUAUCGCUAUGACAACGCUGAGGUCAGCUGCUGCUACAAAUACCUGAUGUUCAGUUACAACAUCAUCUUCUGGCAAGUUCAACGUACCCAGGAUAUGUUUUCGUUAUCUGGUUUCAUUAACCCGAACAGUCGGGAUAAGCGCUACCACGAAGCUGGUUAUCGACUCGGUAAGUCAACCCAGGGUUUCCCAAUCCAGCAUAAAAGAGGCGGAGUUAGCAGCAGAUGACCAGUCACAGACAUGAACAGGUCCACUGUCAGCAGAGCGUCAUAUUUUAUGAACGAGCAUUAAACCGUAACACUACAGAAACACGACAGCAGCACGGCUGCAGCUGACACAUGCAGGGAGACAGAAACUCCCUGACAGUGUGAAUGUCUAAAUGAACAGUAGUAUAUUGUGUUGAUUUAAAGUGUUCUUAUGAGCUGGAUGAAAAUAUCAGCCUUAUUCUUUCAGCUCGGCUGUGUGUCGGCGUCUCCACAUUAAAAGACUCGGGCACUGAA